GCCCUUAGAGUUUGAUCAUGGCUCAGGACGAACGCUGGCGGCGUGCCUAACACAUGCAAGUCGAGCGAAGCGCAUUUUUUAGCUUGCUAAGAGAUGUGACUGAGCGGCGAACGGGUGAGUAACACGUGGGUGAUCUGCCUGAAAGACCGGGAUAACAGUUCGAAAGGACUACUAAUACCGGAUGAAGUUAUUAGUGUAGAGCUAAUAAUCAAAGCGUUACGGAGCGCUUUCAGAUGAGCCCGCGUCCCAUUAGCUAGUUGGUGAGGUAAAGGCUCACCAAGGCGACGAUGGGUAGCCGGUCUGAGAGGAUGGUCGGCCACACUGGAACUGAGACACGGUCCAGACUCCUACGGGAGGCAGCAGUGGGGAAUUUUGCGCAAUGGGGGCAACCUUGACGCAGCGACGCCGCGUGAGCGAAGAAGGCCUUCGGGUUGUAAAGCUCUGUCUGGGGGGAAGAUAGUGACGGUACCCCCGGAGGAAGCCCCGGCUAACUACGUGCCAGCAGCCGCGGUAAGACGUAGGGGGAGAGCGUUGUCCGGAAUUACUGGGCGUAAAGGGCGUGUAGGCGGCCUGCCAAGUCAGCUGUGAAAUUCCUCGGCUUACCGGGGCCCUGCGGUUGAAACUG
rnacentral:rRNA from 1 species